AUGAUGAGCAUUAUACUUUGUUUACUAUACUUGCAUUUGUUAUUAGACUUMUAUUUGUUAUUCUUGACCACAAAAUCAAAAUGACUUCACCAAUUUGUUACUGUUCGUUUUUGCUGGAAAUUGUGGACACCGCUCACCGCACACACACAUUCUUUCACACAGAUCACCCUCGCUUAGGAGGCGCCUCUCUCCGUCCGUUCCCGUGCUAGUCCAAUGGAACAAAGACCAGCCUUAUCAAUGUAUGCUUUCCUACGAGCCAAUGGCGCGACUCCUCAUAGCUCACAUGACAGAUUCCUCUCGCGUCUCUCCACACAGCGUUCAAUCGCGGGAUUCUAGCGUCACUGAAGAACCGAGUCCGGCGCGGCAGGACGUCAACGACAGCGCAACAAUUAUUAGAUAUGAAGACAAGUUUUCAAAGGACCAGACACAUUUUCGAAUGGACUGACUGUUGGCAGCGGAAAUUCUUGAGCCGUACGAUACUAUGAAUCGUCUUCAGACACUAAAAUGAACCAUACGCUAUCAGAAAGCUGACAGGAAAAUGGAGAGAGAGAGAAGGAGAGGAUGAAGAGAAGUGGUGCGAAGGAAUGGAAGAAGCCCCUGAGCAGAACCAGAAGGAGGGAGGGAGAACUGCUGUGACAUGAAAGAGUGAUAGAGCAGAUCACAGAAGAACUCAGACCUUUCAGCUGUGGGCCAGUAGAUCUACGCGCUCCUGGAGCCAGAGGACAAGACCAGGGGCAAGAAGAGACCGUCCGCAUUCAUUUCCAAGCCUUCAGUCUCUCUACACACCUUUUCACACGGGCUGCAAUUAUGAAACGGUUUCAGUCAUUGAAGUAGAAUGUAACAACAGCAAAAAAAGGAAUUGAGUGUCUUCUGUGAAACAUUAAAUAACCAUCCUCUGAUAAACCGGUAAAGAGAGCUGUCUGAAAAGUGACUUGAGAUAUGAGGGAUAAUGGCUGUGUCUUUGUAGUGUCCUUCUAGCUCCCCCGAGAGAGAGAGAGAGAGAGGAAAUGAUAGGCCCAGUCGCCCACUGUGCUCAUCUCUCUGAAUCUCCAAGCGUCAGACUGUCAACCUUGCUCACUAUCAGGCCCCGUUCGCCCCGGUGAACAUUCAACGCUGUCGGUGAGUUUUGAGCUAAAUUGACAAAGACCAUCGACCGUUGAUUGUACCCUGUGGCCAGCCCUUGUCGCUUGAUGAUCGACGCGCAUGGCUACUAACUCAUUAUAACCAGAGGAAGAACACUAUGGUCCC